rnacentral:lncRNA from 1 species
GGAAUACGAAGGGAGAAUGAAACAAAACUGCUCCGCUUAGGGAACUUGGAAAGGAAAUUGAAAAGGCAAGGCACAGGCUGGAAGAAAAUAUUUGAAAAAGAUUUAUGUGAACUUCUUUCUGGAUUAUACAAAAUAUUUUUAGAUAUUCUUACAACUCUAAAAUAAGAUAACUCCUUAAAAAUCUAAAUUCUACCAAAGGAGAGAUAAAGAUGACGAAUACAUUCAAAGAUGCUGAAAAUCACUUAUUUAUUAUUAGGAAGUUACAAGCUAAAGCAUAAUGAGAUACCACUACAACCUACUAAACUGACUAAAAUUAAUCAGACUAACCAGGUGUUGGCAAGAAACAGGGACACUGAGACUCUCACACUGCUGGAAGGAAUGUAAAAUGCUAAAACUUCUUUGGAAAUGAGUUCAGUAACUUUUUAAACAGUUGAAAAUAGACCUAUCAUGCAAACCAGCAAUCCCACUUCCAGUUGACAUGCAGGCUGGACAUACAGUGGGCCUCGAUUGCUUAGAAGCCAAACUGAACUCACCAAGAAAAGAAGACAGGAGAAACUUCUCAAGAGGAAUAUCUCCAAAUUGCAGGAUCGAAUACCAUAAGAGGAAUUCUGGACUGAAGAGUUAUGAAGUCAU